AGGACGAACGCUGGCGGCGUGCUUAACACAUGCAAGUCGAGCGGAAAGGCCCUUCGGGGUACUCGAGCGGCGAACGGGUGAGUAACACGUGAGUAACCUGCCCUGGACUUUGGGAUAACCCUCGGAAACGGGGGCUAAUACCGGAUAUGACGGCUCACCGCAUGGUGUGGUUGUGGAAAGUUUUUCGGUUUGGGAUGGGCUCGCGGACUAUCAGCUUGUUGGUGGGGUGAUGGCCUACCAAGGCGACGACGGUUAG
rnacentral:rRNA from 1 species